UGCGUUCCGUCAGACGAUUAAAUCGGCAGCUGGCACUUGUAGGGUUAAUAAAAAUUUACAGUUAGCUUAUGGAUAUAUUCAUAAUUGGCUCAAUUAGAAGUUACUUAUUUCAGAGGUUUGAAUGAAGAGUUCUGGUUAUGAGGCAAUGAUUUUUUUAUGAAAUUUCUGUUAUCUUGAAUUAAUACCAUAAUAUGUAAUAUUAAGUAACUGUGUGUGUAAUAAAGCAAUUGCUUAUAUCUUGGAAGAUUUGAGUUCAGUUCCAGAUAAUUUUACAUUUUUGGUCUAGGUUCAGUUUCAAAUGAUUUUACUAUCUUGAAGAAUUGAGUUUUCUCUUGUUUGCUAUCAUUACUAAAAUUAAUACCUUUGUCAGUUAUUUUUGACCUAUCAAAACAUAACCCAUCAUAACCAGAGGAGCACCUGUACUGGGAAUUGAACUAUUUUAUAACAUUCUGCUAACACACUAACCAUAAUGUAAAUUUAUGAAACAUUUUUUAGUGGAUCAUUCCAAGAAUUUUUUACGUAUUAUAAAAUAUAAUUUUAUAAUAUAUAAAAAAACAAUUGUUUUUCUCUGCCACACAUUACAUGAAGAACGUGCCUUGCAGUACAUCUUAUGCCCUCGGUCUUCUUCAUUGUUUGUUGCCAGAAGCAAUAGUUCUGUGGGACAUGCAAAAAAUGGCAUUAUUUAUGGGAUGACUUGAUGUUAAAAACAAUAUGGAUAGAAAAGAAGAAUAUGUAAAUAUCACUAUAAGUUUAAAAUGAAAAAUUAGUGAACAUAAGCAUGAUAAUUAUGUUAUGCUUAUCGUUCCUUUCAUUAGAAAGAGAACUUGAAUCUGACAUUAAUUAGAAAAGCUUCUAUGAAACAACAGUAGAUAUAAAGUACAAUGAAGCAAAAGUUAGGGAGAAUUACCUUUUCUUAUAACUUUAAGUUUUCUAUCAAAAAUCUUCCAAAUGACCUAAAUCUUUUAACAUAUAAAUUCUAAGAAUAGAAUGUAUUUAAUUUGUGUUGAUGACGAC
rnacentral:lncRNA from 1 species